UACGAAGGGGGCUAGCGUUGUUCGGAAUUACUGGGCGUAAAGCGCACGUAGGCGGCUUUGUAAGUUAGAGGUGAAAGCCCGGGGCUCAACUCCGGAAUUGCCUUUAAGACUGCAUCGCUAGAAUUGUGGAGAGGUAAGUGGAAUUCCGAGUGUAGAGGUGAAAUUCGUAGAUAUUCGGAAGAACACCAGUGGCGAAGGUGACUUACUGGACACAUAUUGACGCUGAGGUGCGAAAGCGUGGGGAGCAAACAGG
rnacentral:rRNA from 1 species